rnacentral:lncRNA from 1 species
UUUUUUUUUUUUUUUUUUUUUUUUUUUUUUUUUUUUUUUUUUUUUUUUUUUUUUUUUUUUUUUUUUUUUUUUUUUUUUUUUUUUUUUUUUUUUUUUUUUUUUUUUUUUUUUUUUUUUUUUUUUUUUUUUUUUUUUUUUUUUUUUUUUUUUUUUUUUUUUUUUUUUUUUUUUUUUUUUUUUUUUUUUUUUUUUUUUUUUUUUUUUUUUUUUUUUUUUUUUUUUUUUUUUUUUUUUUUUUUUUUUUUUUUUUUUUUUUUUUUUUUUUUUUUUUUUUUUUUUUUUUUUUUUUUUUUUUUUUUUUUUUUUUUUUUUUUUUUUUUUUUUUUUUUUUUUUUUUUUUUUUUUUUUUUUUUUUUUUUUUUUUUUUUUUUUUUUUUUUUUUUUUUUUUUUUUUUUUUUUUUUUUUUUUUUUUUUUUUUUUUUUUUUUUUUUUUUUUUUUUUUUUUUUUUUUUUUUUUUUUUUUUUUUUUUUUUUUUUUUUUUUUUUUUUUUUUUUUUUUUUUUUUUUUUUUUUUUUUUUUUUUUUUUUUUUUUUUUUUUUUUUUUUUUUUUUUUUUUUUUUUUUUUUUUUUUUUUUUUUUUUUUUUUUUUUUUUUUUUUUUUUUUUUUUUUUUUUUUUUUUUUUUUUUUUUUUUUUUUUUUUUUUUUUUUUUUUUUUUUUUUUUUUUUUUUUUUUUUUUUUUUUUUUUUUUUUUUUUUUUUUUUUUUUUUUUUUUUUUUUUUUUUUUUUUUUUUUUUUUUUUUUUUUUUUUUUUUUUUUUUUUUUUUUUUUUUUUUUUUUUUUUUUUUUUUUUUUUUUUUUUUUUUUUUUUUUUUUUUUUUUUUUUUUUUUUUUUUUUUUUUUUUUUUUUUUUUUUUUUUUUUUUUUUUUUUUUUUUUUUUUUUUUUUUUUUUUUUUUUUUUUUUUUUUACAUUGGUAUAUGUUACAUCAAUUUUGAUAAUGAUUUACGAAUGUAAAAUGUAAACAUUUUCACGCUUAGCAUUUUACUAAAUAUGAACACAAGAAGGAUAGUU